UAUUUGAGGUUGUUUGUUUCUGUUUUUCAUGUCCAGGUUGCUUCCAGGUUGUUUUUGGUUGUGACUUGUUGUAGGACGUUUCUGGACUGUUUCACACGCAAGGAGAGUCUCUCCUGAGUUUAAUUGUUAUUAGAAUCUA
rnacentral:sRNA from 1 species